UGCAGUCGACGACUCUGGUAUUGAUUGGUGCUUGCAUCAUGAUUUACAUUUGAGUGAGUGGCGAACUGGUGAGUAACACGUGGGAAACCUGCCCAGAAGCGGGGGAUAACACCUGGAAACAGAUGCUAAUACCGCAUAACAACUUGGACCGCAUGGUCCGAGUUUGAAAGAUGGCUUCGGCUAUCACUUUUGGAUGGUCCCGCGGCGUAUUAGCUAGAUGGUGGGGUAACGGCUCACCAUGGCAAUGAUACGUAGCCGACCUGAGAGGGUAAUCGGCCACAUUGGGACUGAGACACGGCCCAAACUCCUACGGGAGGCAGCAGUAGGGAAUCUUCCACAAUGGACGAAAGUCUGAUGGAGCAACGCCGCGUGAGUGAAGAAGGGUUUCGGCUCGUAAAACUCUGUUGUUAAAGAAGAACAUAUCUGAGAGUAACUGUUCAGGUAUUGACGGUAUUUAACCAGAAAGCCACGGCUAACUACGUGCCAGCAGCCGCGGUAAUACGUAGGUGGCAAGCGUUGUCCGGAUUUAUUGGGCGUAAAGCGAGCGCAGGCGGUUUUUUAAGUCUGAUGUGAAAGCCUUCGGCUCAACCGAAGAAGUGCAUCGGAAACUGGGAAACUUGAGUGCAGAAGAGGACAGUGGAACUCCAUGUGUAGCGGUGAAAUGCGUAGAUAUAUGGAAGAACACCAGUGGCGAAAGCGGCUGUCUGGUCUGUAACUGACGCUGAGGCUCGAAAGUAUGGGUAGCAAACAGGAUUAGAUACCCUGGUAGUCCAUACCGUAACGAUGAAUGCUAAGUGUUGGAGGGUUUCCGCCCUUCAGUGCUGCAGCUAACGCAUUAAGCAU
rnacentral:rRNA from 2 species